ensembl:lncRNA
GGGAGAGCGGGCAGAGAGCAGGUAAGUGGAGCUUGGCUGGGAGUCAGCAGCCGGGUGGUAAGAGCAGUGCUUUCGUCUCAGUGCCAGACGCCCAUGGGUGUUUUUUUCCUUCUUUUGAAAUAAUUCUAGAUUCACAGAGAGUUUCAGCGACACGUGCAGGGGUGCAGUGCAGCCCCCCACCGUGGUCACAUCUUGCGUGGCUGCGGGGCGAGGUCAGAUCCAGAAGCCGGCCCUGGUCUGGCCACAGAGCUGGUUCAGACGGUGACUUAUUUUCUUUAUAUUUCCAGUGUUCUCGGUAUUUCCAGAAGGAGCAGGUGCUAGCCAUUUUUACCUCCCUAGUUCCCUUUAUUUACUUAUACAAACAACACGGAUGAUCCUUUGUGUCGACAGUUCCAGGCGUGGCUGUAGAUGAGCAGGGCAGUGGGCGCGGGGCCUCCCGCAGACGCCCCUCGGCUCAGACAGCGAACCCCAGCCGCCCAGGGAGACGCCUCCUUCCCCCACCUCCUGAUCCGCGAAACUCUGUGGGACACUGCUUCUCCAGAGCCAGCCCCACAGCAGUAGGGCCAGAGGGAACAGACCGCACAGGUGCCCCCAGGGCCACCUGGGAGGGUCGUCCGAGCCUGUCCGGGCCCCAGGUCCAGAGCGUCCACAGCAACCCUGGGCGCUGCAGGUUUCUCUCUGGAGGGAAAAGCGGGCUGGAGACUUGGUACCCACCUCCCUGUUCAUCUGACGGUGGGGGUGGAGCAGGGACAGAGGGUCCGCCCCUGAGGGAACCCCCCAAAAGCCCCUUUGGGGUUUGCUGAAAUGGCCAAAGCUGACAGUGUUUCUGCAUCCCAGGCACGGGAUCACGGAGGGGUCGAGGGCCCAGAUAUCCGGAGACCAACACGUUGGGAAGCCCCAUCCGGGGUCCAGCCCCCACGGCCUCCUCCUGCAGGAGGCCACCCCCUACAGCCCCUGGGCUACACCCCUCCCCCGCCUGCGUCCCUGCUGCACCCUCCUCCGCAGGCCACCCUGGCCUUGGGAGCCGGACGGGGCAGAGAAGGGGGUGCAGGGCCGUGCUGAUUGCUGCCUGGUUUCGGCCACUCGCCGUGCGGGGAUUUCCCGCGGGACACUGGGUGGCUUUGGGCCUCUGACAGGAGGAGGUUUCUGGGACGCGCUGGGACCCCGGCAGCUGAGAGCUGGUGUAGCCAGGACAGCGACGGGUCUCCUCCAGGACGAGGCGGCAGCCGCCGGGCCCCUGGACGCGAGGCACAGGUGCAGGCUGACCUACGGCAGCAGGGUCUCCCGGCUGUGGCCGGGCUCAGGCAGCUCCGCGUGGAAGCCCUGCGCGGACGCCAGAUGGGAGCCGCCGGGAGGAGCGUGUCAGGGACGAGCCAGGGUUCGGGCCCGAGCAGGCCCCGAGACAGGUUUGCUCCAGGAAGCAGGGAGUCAGGUUGGGCCCCCGGGGCCGCGGCCCCCACACCCCAUCCAGCCUUCCUGUCUGUCCUCUCCGCAUUGGACCCUGUGUGCCCUUUGAUCCUGCUCUGCCCGCCAGGGGUCCCUGGGUUCAGCCCUCGUCCCGUGUUCCCUAACUGUUGGGGUUGGGGGUGCUGGGUGGGGCCCCUGGGCUUGAGCUGGUUGGUGAAGCCUGUGUGGCCACGACAGGUCUGAGGGAAGCCCAUCCGGGGAAGGUCCUGAGGGGCCAGCGGCUUUGACCUGGAACGUGGUGGGAGUGCAGUUUGGAAACCUGGGCCCCCAGCAGACACUGGGGGCUCCCGGCACGUACCCGGCAGGAGGAUGAGCUGCAGCCAGGCCCGGGGACGCGGGCUGGUUCUGACGCAGAGUGGGGGGCACCAGGGAAGGCGAUGGGAUGGUGGGUGUGGUCUCCCAAGCAGCUCCUCUGACGCAGCAGGUGCAGGUAGCUGGAACUGUGACCCCUCCCCAAAUGUCUGGGUCACAGUGGCCUGGGGAGCACUAAUUCCAAUGGGAAAACCGAGCCCACACUGUGUGACUUCACCCCUUCAGCCUAGUGCCACCUGGACACUGACGCUGAGGGAGGCGAUAGAGGCGACUCAGGCCAGCCCCUUCCCCAGACCCUCGGGAAGGACACAAGCCAACUGUCCCCGAACUUCACGGCUUAAGGACUAGAGAUGCACGCUGACCUACUGAGGCCCUCGGGCUCUGGGGGGCU